rnacentral:rRNA from 1 species
UACGGAGGAUCCAAGCGUUAUCCGGAAUUACUGGGCGUAAAGGGCGCGUAGGCGGCCUCUUAAGUCGAACGUGAAAUCCCCGGGCUCAACCCGGGAACUGCGUCCGAUACUGGGAGGCUUGAAUCCGGGAGAGGGAUGUGGAAUUCCAGGUGUAGCGGUGAAAUGCGUAGAUAUCGGGAGGAACACCUAUGGCGAAGGCAGCUCGCUGGGACGUUACUGACGCUGAGACGCGAAAGCGUGGGGAGCAAACAGG